CGCUAUCACUCCUACGGGAGGCAGCAUGGGGGAAUAUUGCACAAUGGGGGAAAACCCUGAUGCAGCCAUGCCGCGUGUGUGAAGAAGACCUUCGGGUUGUAAAGCACUUUCAGUAGGGAGGAAGGUAGUGUAGUUAACACCUGCAUUAUUUGACGUUACCUACAGAAGAAGCACCGGCUAACUCCGUGCCAGCAGCCGCGGUAAUACGGAGGGUGCGAGCGUUAAUCGGAAUUACUGGGCGUAAAGCGCAUGCAGGCGGCCUGUUAAGUCAGAUGUGAAAGCCCGGGGCUUAACCUCGGAAUUGCAUUUGAAACUGGCAGGCUAGAGUCUUGUAGAGGGGGUAGAAUUUCAGGUGUAGCGGUGAAAUGCGUAGAGAUCUGAAGGAAUACCAGUGGCGAAGGCGGCCCCCUGGACAAAGACUGACGCUCAGAUGCGAAAGCGUGGGGAGCAAACAGGAUUAGAUACCCUGGUAG
rnacentral:rRNA from 1 species